UACGUAGGGGGCUAGCGUUGCUCGGAAUCACUGGGCGUAAAGCGCACGUAGGCGGAUCUUUAAGUCAGGGGUGAAAUCCUGGAGCUCAACUCCAGAACUGCCUUUGAUACUGGGGAUCUCGAGUCCGGAAGAGGUGAGUGGAACUCCGAGUGUAGAGGUGAAAUUCGUAGAUAUUCGGAAGAACACCAGUGGCGAAGGCGGCUCACUGGUCCGGUACUGACGCUGAGGUGCGAAAGCGUGGGGAGCAAACGGG
rnacentral:rRNA from 1 species